GGCGACCGGCAGAAGGGUGCGUAACGCGUGAAGCAACAUGCCCGUAACAAGAGGAUAACCGCGUGGAGAACGUCGUCUAAUACUACUACUAUGAAUGUUGUAUCGCAUGGUGAAUAUUUAAAAUUUUUUGGAGGUUACGGAUUGGUUCGCGUCCCAUUAGGUAGACGGAGAGGUAAACGGCUCACCGUGCCGACGAUGGGUAGGGGUUCUGAGAGGAAGGUCCCCCACAAUGGAACUGAGACACGGUCCAUACUCCUACGGGAGGCAGCAGUGAGGAAUAUUGGUCAAUGGGCGGAAGCCUGAACCAGCCAUGCCGCGUGCAGGAAGGAGGCCCUAUGGGUCGUAAACUGCUUUUGCCGCAGAGCAAUAAGAGAUACGAGAUAUCUUGAUGAGAGUAUGCGGUGGAUAAGCAUCAGCUAACUCCGUGCCAGCAGCCGCGGUAAUACGGAGGAUGCGAGCGUUAUCCGGAUUUAUUGGGUUUAAAGGGUGCGUAGGCGGCGUCACAAGUCAGGGGUGAAAAGCUAGUGCUUAACACUGGUCUUGCCUUUGAUACUGUGGUGCUAGAGUGCUCCUGCCGCAGGAGGAAUGAGUGGUGUAGCGGUGAAAUGCAUAGAUAUCACUCAGAACACCGAUUUGCGAAGGCAUCUUGCGAAGGGGCGACUGACGCUGAGGCACGAAAGCGUGGGGAUCGAACAGGAUUAGAUACCCCUGGUAGUCCACGCUGUAAACGAUGAUGACUAACCGCCGGCGAUAGAUGGUUCGGUGGCCAAGCGAAAGCGAUAAGUCAUCCACCUGGGGAGUACGACCGCAAGGUUGAAACUCAAAGGAAUUGACGGGGGCCCGCACAAGCGGAGGAACAUGUGGUUUAAUUCGAUGAUACGCGAGGAACCUUACCCGGGCUCGAACGGCUAGUGAACGGAGCAGAGAUGCCGAGGUCCUUCGGGACGCUAGUCGAGGUGCUGCAUGGUUGUCGUCAGCUCGUGCCGUGAGGUGUCGGCUUAAGUGCCAUAACGAGCGCAACCCUUGUUGUUAGUUACCAUCAAGUAAAGUUGGGGACUCUAGCGAGACUGCCACCGCAAGGUGAGAGGAAGGGGGGGAUGACGUCAAAUCAGCACGGCCCUUACGUCCGGGGCGACACACGUGUUACAAUGGCGGUUACAGAGGGGGGCUACCUAGUGAUAGGGUGCUGAUCUUAAAAAACCGUCUCAGCUUCGGAUCGGAGUCUGCAACUCGACUCCGUGAAGCUGGAUUCGCUAGUAAUCGCGCAUCAGCCAUGGCGCGGUGAAUACGUUCCCGGGCCUUGUACACACCGCCCGUCAAGCCAUGGAAGCUUGGGGUGCCUGAAGCGCGUGACC
rnacentral:rRNA from 1 species